AUGAACGCUAGCGACAGGCUUAACACAUGCAAGUCGAGGGGCAGCACAGGUAGCAAUACCGGGUGGCGACCGGCGCACGGGUGAGUAACGCGUAUGCAACUUACCUAUCAGAGGGGGAUAACCCGGCGAAAGUCGGACUAAUACCGCAUGAAGCAGGGGCCCCGCAUGGGGAUAUUUGCUAAAGAUUCAUCGCUGAUAGAUAGGCAUGCGUUCCAUUAGGCAGUUGGCGGGGUAACGGCCCACCAAACCGACGAUGGAUAGGGGUUCUGAGAGGAAGGUCCCCCACAUUGGUACUGAGACACGGACCAAACUCCUACGGGAGGCAGCAGUGAGGAAUAUUGGUCAAUGGCCGAGAGGCUGAACCAGCCAAGUCGCGUGAGGGAUGAAGGUUCUAUGGAUCGUAAACCUCUUUUAUAAGGGAAUAAAGUGCGGGACGUGUCCCGUUUUGUAUGUACCUUAUGAAUAAGGAUCGGCUAACUCCGUGCCAGCAGCCGCGGUAAUACGGAGGAUCCGAGCGUUAUCCGGAUUUAUUAGGUUUAAAGGGUGCGUAGGCGGCCUUUUAAGUCAGCGGUGAAAGUCUGUGGCUCAACCAUAGAAUUGCCGUUGAAACUGGGGGGCUUGAGUAUGUUUGAGGCAGGCGGAAUGCGUGGUGUAGCGGUGAAAUGCAUAGAUAUCACGCAGAACCCCGAUUGCGAAGGCAGCCUGCCAAGCCAUGACUGACGCUGAUGCACGAAAGCGUGGGGAUCAAACAGGAUUAGAUACCCUGGUAGUCCACGCAGUAAACGAUGAUCACUAGCUGUUUGCGAUACACUGUAAGCGGCACAGCGAAAGCGUUAAGUGAUCCACCUGGGGAGUACGCCGGCAACGGUGAAACUCAAAGGAAUUGACGGGGGCCCGCACAAGCGGAGGAACAUGUGGUUUAAUUCGAUGAUACGCGAGGAACCUUACCCGGGUUUGAACGCAUUCGGACCGAGGUGGAAACACCUUUUCUAGCAAUAGCCGUUUGCGAGGUGCUGCAUGGUUGUCGUCAGCUCGUGCCGUGAGGUGUCGGCUUAAGUGCCAUAACGAGCGCAACCCUUGCCACUAGUUACUAACAGGUAAAGCUGAGGACUCUGGUGGGACUGCCAGCGUAAGCUGCGAGGAAGGCGGGGAUGACGUCAAAUCAGCACGGCCCUUACAUCCGGGGCGACACACGUGUUACAAUGGCGUGGACAAAGGGAGGCCACCUGGUGACAGGGAGCGAAUCCCCAAACCACGUCUCAGUUCGGAUCGGAGUCUGCAACCCGACUCCGUGAAGCUGGAUUCGCUAGUAAUCGCGCAUCAGCCAUGGCGCGGUGAAUACGUUCCCGGGCCUUGUACACACCGCCCGUCAAGCCAUGGGAGCCGGGGGUACCUGAAGUCCGUAACCGAAAGGAUCGGCCUAGGGUAAAACUGGUGACUGGGGCU
rnacentral:rRNA from 1 species